UCUGCUUCUGCUUCCUCAAAAGGCUGCAACCCCGCGCCUUCCGCCACCCCGUUCAGUGGCAAGCCGACACCACCACGUGCUCUAUCUCAGCGUGCCGCGCGCACCCUGCAAAAACACUCUCUGUCAAAACACUCUUCGCACGCUCGCGCUUCGUUCGUGCUGCUUUUUUUUGUCUGUCGUUCAUGAUCACCGCCGACGCUGUGCUGGGCGACUAAUUUCUUCAAGGAGCUGGAUGAGCGGAGGAGCGGCGUGCGGCGGCCACCUAGACACUUCGCCCGCACAAUGAUGAGCUGCUUCGCCCUCCUUAUUGCCUCCGCUAUGAUAACUCUAACUACCAGAGGUGUGAGCGGCAACGUGCUGGAGGGCCAGGGUCCAGUGAUCGUGCUGGAGCCGCCGGCGCGUCUCGAGUUCACGAACAGCACGGGCACGCGACUGGACUGCAGCGCGCAGGGCAGUCCGGCGGUCAGCGUCACGUGGACGGCGUCCGUGGGACUCAACAGUCCGUCGGGCGGCGGGGGCAACGCGCAGCCGGGCCCCGUGCCCAACGUGCCGGGCCUCAGGCACCAGCUGCUCAACGGCAGCCUGCUCUUCCUGCCGUUUCCCGCCUCCGCGUACCGGCCGGACGUGCACGCCUCCGCCUACAGGUGCGUCGCAACCAACUCUGUCGGACGCGUCCUCGGCAGGGAGGUCAGACUCAAAGCAGUGGUGCUGCAGCAGUACGAGCUGCGGGUGAAGGGCGCCGUGGUGUCUCGGGGCAACACGGCCGUGCUUCGGUGCCAAGUGCCGAGCGCGGUGCGCGACUACCUCACCGUGACUUCGUGGCUGCAAGACGACACCUUCAAUAUUUACCCGUCCAGCGACGGAGAUGGCAAAUUCCACAUGCUGCCGUCGGGAGAGCUGCUGGUGCUGAACGUGGACUCGUCCGACGUCUACUCGACCUACCACUGCCGCGCCACCCACCGCCUCUCAGACGAGACGCUCGUCAGCGUCCUACCCGGCAAGAUCACAGUCACAGAAGCUCCGAGAGGCGUUGUGCCGCCAAGGGCGUUUGAACGGACUGUCAACUUGGAAGUUAGAAGGGAUGAACUGGUCAUUCUACCCUGCAUUGUGGACAGCAACCCUCAACCAGAAUACAGGUGGUACCUUCUGAGCGACUCGACAGGUCAGAUGCAGCCGCUGCACGACUCGGAGCACCGAUACCGGGUGAACGGGCUGCUGGUGCUGCAGCGGGCGCGUCCGGCCGACUCGGGCCGUUACAUCUGCGUGGCGAACAACACGGGCGGCUCGGAGCGCGUCGAGUUCGGGCUGGUGGUGACGGCGCCGCUGGGCGCGCACGUGACGCCGUCGCACGCCACCGUCGACCUGGGACGCAACGCCGAGUUCUCCUGCGCCACCCUGGGCCACCCUGUGCGCUCGGUCGUCUGGGCGAAGGACGGAAACCUGCUCAGGGACGGCCACAGGGUGCGGUUCCUCAGCAGGGAGCGCCUCCAGGUGAUCAACGUGCAGCGUGAGGACCAGGGCAUGUACCAGUGCUUCGUCAAGAACGACCUCGACAUGGCGCAGGCCACCGCCGAACUCAGGCUUGGAGACACGCCUCCUCAGUUGAUGUACAAAUUCAUCCAGCAGACGAUCCAGCCGGGGCCGUCGGUGUCGCUGAAAUGCAUCGCCGCCGGAAACCCUACGCCCAGCAUAAAGUGGACCCUCGACGGAUUCCCGCUCCCCCAGAACGAGAGGUUCCUAAUUGGGCAGUACGCGCCGCACGGCGACGUGAUUAGCCACGUCAACAUCAGCGCGGUCAGCGUCGAGGACGGCGGCACUUACGAGUGCAUCGCGGUCAACAGGGUCGGCGACGCCAGGCACAGGGCCCAGCUCAACGUCUACGGUUUGCCGCACGUGCGCUCGAUGCCUGAAAUUUCGGCGGUGGCCGGCGAAACGCUGUACCUGUCCUGUCCCGUGGCCGGCUACCCGAUCGAAACCAUCAAGUGGUAUCGCGGCGACCGUCUGCUGCCCGUGAACAGCCGGCACGUGGUGUUCCCGAACGGCACCCUGGAGAUCAAGAAUCUGCAGGCGAACCAGGACGGCGGCGCGUACACGUGCAGCGCGGCCAACAGGCAGGGAAACGUGGCCAGCGGCAUGGCCCACAUCAACGUCAUGGUCCCCCCAAAACUAAACCCUUUCAGCUUCCGCGCCGACCUGCACCUGGGCGAAAGGGUGGGCCUGCAGUGCAUGGUGUCCAAGGGCGAUCCGCCGCUGGAGGUGAGCUGGCUGAAGGACGGGCGGCCGCUGGUUGGCUCGGACGAGCUGGUGAUCCGCCACUUGGACGAGUUCACGAGCAGCCUGGCGAUCGGCGCCCUGGCGCCGCGGCACAGCGGCAACUACACGUGCGUGGCGCGCAACCUGGUGGCCGCGGCGGCGCACUCGGCCGGCCUCUCCGUGAACGGUACUUGUCCGCGAGCGGCCACUCACGUGCCUGCCUUUGUUCUUGUCUUUGCAGUGCCCCCCGCGAUCACGCCGUUCACCUUUGGCGAGCUCUCGCAGGGCGAGCGGGUCAAGGUGACGUGUAGCGUGAAGCGCGGCGACAUGCCCCUCACCAUUUCCUGGAUCAAGGACCGCCGACCGAUUGUAGAGCAUGCCGACAAAAAUGUCGACGUUAGAGACACUGCCGACGAUUCGUACUCUAGCAUUUUGGCCAUUUCUAGUGUAAGCUCUAGGCAUAGCGGCAAUUAUACUUGUGUCGCGCGCAACCCGGCCAAGGAGACCACCUACACGGCAGAGUUGGUCGUGACCGUGCCGCCGAGCUGGGUCGUGGAGCCGCAAAACUACGACGCCAAACUCGGCCAAAAUGUGGUUCUCGACUGCCAGGUUGAGGGCUUCCCAAAGCCAACUGUCUCCUGGAAAAAAGCCCUAGGCUACAAGCCGGGCGAGUACAGCGACCUGCGCCCUGUCGAAGGGGCGUCGCACGGCCCCGUGCUUCCUGUUCAGGGAGGCUCGAUGCAGAUCCUGAUUAACGGCUCUCUGAUGAUCGAAAGCGUGAAGCAGGAGGACGAGGGACGCUACCUGUGCGAGGCCAACAAUGGCAUUGGCAUCGGCCUCAGCGCAGUUAUCUCCCUCACGGUCAAUGCUCCGGUGCAGUUCAAAAUCAGGUCGAAAAAGGAGCUGGUGCGCCGCGGCAGCACUGCCAAGCUGGUGUGCAAAGCUCUCGGCGAUAAUCCCAUCACCGUCAAAUGGCAAAAGGAGAACUCGCACUUGGACGUCCACUCCAUCAGCAUCAAGAACUCGAGUCUGUCACAGGAGAACGGACUGGUGUCAGAGCUGCUGAUAUACGACACGAAAAGGAGCGACAGCGGCGUGUACACGUGCUUUGCGAGCAACGACUUCGGCCACGACCAGAUGGCCAUCCAUCUUUUGGUGCAGGACGCGCCCGCCAAGCCGACCAAUUUGCGCAUGCUGGAGUACGACUCGAGGAAAGUGACUUUCGAGUGGAGCCAGGAGCAAGACGGCAACAGCCCCAUCACCAGAUACGUCGUCAGCUACAGAGCCCUCCACGGCGUGAGCUCGCAGGUGAACCAGCAGGUGGUGGACGGCAGCCAGUUGUCGACGACCAUCAGCAACCUGUUGCCGGACACGAGCUACUCGAUCCAGGUGGCCGCCGAGAACCAGCUAGGCGUGGGCGAGCCGAGCGACGAGCUGCAGGUGCGCACCACCGACGAGCCGCCCAGCCACAGUCCGCAGGACCUGCAGGUCGACGCCAAGAGCUCCACGCAGCUGCACGUCACCUGGAAUUCUCCCCCGGUCGAUACCUGGAACGGACAGCUCCUCGGCUACUACGUCGGACACAGGCAAAUGCUCAGCAAUGACAGAUCUGGAACAAAUCAGUACAACUUCACGACAGUGCCUUGGCCAGGCAACGGAAAGGCCGAGCUGAAGAUGGGCAACUUGAAAAAGUUCACCAAGUACUGCAUCGUCGUUCAAGCCUUCAACAUGAAAGGAGCAGGCCCCGUUUCCACUGAGGUCGUCGCCCAAACGCUCGAAGAUGUUCCUGAGGCGUCUCCACGCGAUUUGCACUGCAGCGCCAGUACCUCAGAGUCCAUUGACGUCAGCUGGCAGCCCCCACCGGAGGACAAAGUGCACGGAGUCAUCCAGGGAUAUAGACUUUACUACGAGGCUGUUGAGGAUUACUCAGUGGAUCUGUACCAAAUAGACAGUUCAGCGCAGAGCAAAAUGACCAAGUCACUGACCACAAUGCUGCACGGCCUGCUCAAAUACACCAACUACAGCAUCCAGGUUUUGUCCUUCACUCACGUUGGAGAAGGCGUAAGGAGCAGCAAAAUCUUCUGCAGGACCAAGGAAGAUGUUCCAGGGCCUCCAGCUGAGGUGAAGUUACUAGCAACGAGCCAGGACACGGCCCUGGUGACGUGGCAGCCGCCAAAGCAGCCAAACGGAGAAAUCCAGAAGUACUACAUCUACGUGCGUGUGAUGGACUCGAACGGGAGGAAAGUGGAGCCGAAAGUGGUGCCUGCCACGAACUUUGACUACGAAAUAAGGGACCUGAGGAAGAGGCAUCGAUAUGAGGUGUGGGUCGCCGCCCUGACCAAGGUUGGAGAAGGCCCUGGAACGCCUGUUUCGUCUUUCACACCAACCAACAAAGUGGCCGCGGCGGUGGCGUCUUUUGGCGGUAACAUCGUGGUGGCGAGUCGGAAGGACGUGCGUCUGCCGUGUCGGGCGGUGGGCCAGCCGGAGCCGCACAGGCAGUGGCUGGCCAACGGACGGCCGCUCAACCUGCAGCACUCGGCCUCGGAGCAACGCAGCACGCCGCUGCAGAUCUCGUCGGACGGCACCCUGCUGAUGGCCAGCGUGCUCCGCAGCGACGGCGGCGACUACACAUGCGUCGUCAGCAACGAGCACGGCAAAGACCUCAUCACCUACCGCCUCUCUGUCCAAGUUCCUCCCGCGACACCGCUGCUGCACUCGACGGGUUCGACGUCGGCCUCGAUCCAGCUGCAGUGGAAGGUGGGAGACGACGGCGGCUCCCCUGUGAAAGGGUUCGUGCUGCACUACAAGCCUGACGAGGGCGAGUGGAGCGAGCACCGCGUCGACCGGCAGCACAGCACGUUCACGCUGAGCGGACUGCGUUGCGGCACGCAGUACCACGUGUACCUGGUGGCGUACAACCGGCUCGGCAGCAGCCCCUCCAGCGUCGUGCUCAAGGAGCGCACGCGGGGCUCCAAGCCGCUGCCGCCGCCGCUCGGAUCGGCCGACGCCUUCCUCGUGCUCAACGCCACCAAGAUCGGACUGCGCCUCGACGCCUGGCCCGACGGUGGAUGCGCCAUCGUCUUCUUUGUCGUCGAGUACAUGCCUGUCAGCAGCGCCAGCGGAGAGUGGCUAGUUGCGAGCAACAACGUGCAGCCGCAACGCUUGUUUUUCAUCAGCGGACUGAACCCUGGCACCAAGUACAGGCUGCGGGUAAUAGCCCAUAAUGCGGCCGGAUCGACGACGGCCAACUUGAUUGCCACCACGACCGCGGCCAACGGCUUUCACGACUUAUCAGCCACCAUCAAGUCCAGCGACGCGGAACAUAAUCAGAACGACCCGGCGGUGCAGCGGCCGCCGCUGCACAAGGACGUCAAGGUGGUGGCCCCCCUCGCCGUCUCCACGGUCGCCGUCCUCCUCAGCCUCCUCAGCGUCUGCUUCUGCUUGAGGAAAAAAGGCGCAGCGAGCUCGGCGGCGACCCAGCAGAAUAACUCGAACUCGGCGUGCGAGAGCAAGAACAACUCUUCGCAGCGGGAGCAGUACUACGCGACGGUGCGGAAGCCGCCGCCGUCGCCGGCGCCCGAUUUCGCGACAUUAGAAUGCAUACCAGAGUACUCUGAGGACAUCUACCCUUACGCAACGUUCCACGUUCCACCGCCGCCGGCCCCGGCGCACGAGGAGGCGAUGAGCACCAAGCUGCAGACUUUCGUGUACCGCGGCAUCGGCGCCGAGCUGAUGCAGGGCGCCUCCUUCCGACACCUGCCGUCGCCGCCCAGGGCAAAACCGCAGACUGCUUUCGAGAUCGCACACAAUCUGAAGAUGCAGGGCAAGAGCGAGCGGCAAAAGCGGAGCCGGUGCAAACUGAAGACGGACCGGCGCGAGAGCGAGGAGUACGACAGCUUCAACUCCGAGUCGGACACCGAGCAGGGCACCUCGAGCCGCACCGAGUCGUCCAACCAGCUGGACGACAACUUGCAUCCCGCCCUGAACGCAGGUGGGAUGGCCGCUGGGGUCGAGUGCCGAUUUACUUUACCCAGGAGGACUCGAAUCAAGCACGUCCACAGAGCCGUCUCCCAUUGCUGAGCGACGACUCAAAUCCAUGGGCAUUAUCCCUAAAGUAAACAACAAAUCAUCUCGAAUGGGCAUGGUGCACGGCAUGCGGCAGUCGACGACCAGUUUCAUGACGCCGAAGGUUGACGCCGCGGGCAAAGUGCGGCCGAAACCGCUCAAGGCCGACGACGAGAGCGGCAAAGGCAAAUUCGGCGUCGGCUCGCCGAACAAACAGCGCGGCGGGCAACUCAGCGUCAUCUCGAGCAAGAACGCCGACUACAGCAUCCGCGUGUGAGAGGGACAGAAUUUUCGUGCUCAAAAAUA